UUUAGUUUUUUCACACUAUAAAAUGAUCAAACAAUUUCUAUUUCUAGAGUCAUAAAAGAGAAAAUAUGGCUAAAUAUUUAUUUCUACAACAAACUGCAGUAAGUAAUUUUUAUCAACGCUUCUAAAUUUGGCGAACGAUCGUACUUGAGAGUUUAGUUUGAUACUGCACUGGAAUUCUGCGAAGAUAAUGGGGAUUGCCACGAUUAUACCUGUACCCCACCUGCAGUUCCAAAUUGCGUAUUCAAUGCUGUGAAAAAUCUAAAGUCGUUUUUUGGAUUUGGGAUUUGUCAAUGUGUACCUUAAUUAGUGGUUUGUGAAUGUGUGAAUAAAUCCUAAAAUAAUUUCUUUAAGAAUAAUGUUUAAAAGGGCGUGGUGGUGAGGUGUUGACGUGGAGGUGUUGGUUUUGGCGCCGCCGGUGGGAGGUGAGGUGAGGUGUUUUGGCGCCGUGGUCCUUCUACCAAGUUUAGUGUCAAUCACCACUGAACCAACUAACGAUUGGUGUGGUUAUGGUUUUAUUUCGUUUAAUAAUAUGUUCUAUUUUAUUUUUUUACAAGUUUGAUACUGUAUGGCAAAUAGCAACUAUAAAAAAUUAUUUAUCAUUUUAUGGGAAAAAUAAAAAUUAUUGGA